UACGAAGGGUGCGAGCGUUAUUCGGAAUCACUGCGCGUAAAGGGUGCGUAGACGGUAUGUUAAGUUUGUUGUUAAAGGCUCCGGCCUAACUGGAGUAUUGCGAUGAAAACUGGCAAACUAGAGGGUGAGAGAGAGAAGUGGAAUUCCCGGAGUAGCGGUAAAAUGCGUGGAUCUCGGGAGGAACACCAAUGGCGAAGGCAGCUUCUUGGCUCAUACCUGACGUUGAGGCACGAAAGCGUGGGGAGCAAACAGG
rnacentral:rRNA from 1 species